GUGCUCACUUCAGCAGCACAUAUACUAAAAUUGGAAUGAUACAGAAUAGAUUAGCACGGCCCUUGCGCAAGGAUGACACACAAAUUCAUGAAGCAUUACAUAUUUUU
ensembl:snRNA U6 U6 spliceosomal RNA